ACUAUGUGAUGAUAUCUCACUGUCUGAACAUACUGUAGUUGGUCCUCGGCAUGUGUAUGAUGCAUCUCACUGUUUCAAGACGGGACUGAUGGUAGC
ensembl:snoRNA SNORD21 Small nucleolar RNA SNORD21